CUUGCUCCUGGUGGCGAGUGGCGGACGGGUGAGUAACACGUAGGAAUCUGCCUAGUAGUGGGGGAUAACUUGGGGAAACUCAAGCUAAUACCGCAUACGCUCUACGGAGGAAAGCGGGGGAUCUUCGGACCUCGCGCUAUUAGAUGAGCCUGCGUCCGAUUGGCUAGUUGGUGGGGUAAAGGCCCACCAAGGCGACGAUCGGUAGCUGGUCUGAGAGGACGAUCAGCCACACUGGAACUGAGACACGGUCCAGACUCCUACGGGAGGCAGCAGUGGGGAAUAUUGGACAAUGGGCGCAAGCCUGAUCCAGCAAUGCCGCGUGUGUGAAGAAGGCCUGCGGGUUGUAAAGCACUUUAAGCAGGGAAGAAUGGACUAAGGCUAAUAUCCUUGGUCAGUGACGUUACCUGCAGAAUAAGCACCGGCUAACUUCGUGCCAGCAGCCGCGGUAAUACGAAGGGACCUAGCGUAGUUCGGAAUUACUGGGCGUAAAGCGCGCGUAGGCCGUUGAGUUAGUUAAUUGUGAAAUCCCAAAGCUUAACUUUGGAACUGCAAUUAAAACUGCUCGACUAGAGUUUGAUAGAGGAAAGCGGAAUACAUAGUGUAGAGGUGAAAUUCGUAGAUAUUAUGUAGAACACCAGUUGCGAAGGCGGCUUUCUGGGUCAACACUGACGCUGAGGCGCGAAAGUAUGGGUAGCAAAGAGGAUUAGAUACCCUCGUAGUCCAUACCAUAAACGAUGAUUGCUAGAUGUUGGAAAUUUAUUUUCAGUAUCGCAGCUAACGCAUUAAGCAAUCCGCCUGGGGAGUACGACCGCAAGGUUAAAACUCAAAUGAAUUGACGGGGACCCGCACAAGCGGUGGAGCAUGUGGUUUAAUUCGAAGAUACGCGCAGAACCUUACCAACCCUUGACAUCCUCGGAACUUUGUCAGAGAUGACUUGGUGCCUUCGGGAACCGAGAGACAGGUGCUGCAUGGCUGUCGUCAGCUCGUGUUGUGAAAUGUUGGGUUAAGUCCCGUAACGAGCGCAACCCUUAUCCUUAGUUGCCAACAGUUCGGCUGGGAACUCUAGGGAGACUGCCGGUGAUAAACCGGAGGAAGGUGGGGACGACGUCAAGUCAUCAUGGCCCUUAUGGGUAGGGCUACACACGUGCUACAAUGGCCGGUACAGAGGGCUGCGAACUCGCGAGAGCAAGCCAAUCCCAAAAGCCGGUCCCAGUCCGGAUUGCAGUCUCAACUCGACUGCAUGAAGUCG
rnacentral:rRNA from 1 species